UGGUAUAAGAUGCUGUGUUCACCUGCC
rnacentral:piRNA from 1 species